AAGAGGUCUGGAAAGGCCCGCUAUAAGAGGUAAAAGCCCUGUAGCCGAAAGUAUAUUCCCUCCGAGACGGAUCCCGAGUAGUGCGGGGCACGUGAAACCCCGUAUGAAUCCAGCAGGACCAUCUGCUAAGGCUAAAUACUCCCUAGCGACCGAUAGUGAAACAGUACCGUGAGGGAAAGGUGAAAAGCACCCCGGAAGGGGAGUGAAAUAGAUCCUGAAACCGUGUGCUUACAAGAAGUCAGAGCCCGAUCUAUGGGUGAUGGCGUGCCUUUUGUAGAAUGAACCGGCGAGUUACGUUCCCAUGCAAGGUUAAGGCGAGAAGCCGUAGCCGCAGCGA
rnacentral:rRNA from 1 species